rnacentral:rRNA from 1 species
GAUGAACGCUGGCGGCGUGCUUAACACAUGCAAGUCGAACGAGGCACUUUAUUUGAUUUCCUUCGGGACUGAUUAUUUUGUGACUGAGUGGCGGACGGGUGAGUAACGCGUGGGUAACCUGCCUUGUACAGGGGGAUAACAGUUGGAAACGGCUGCUAAUACCGCAUAAGCGCACAGCAUCGCAUGAUGCAGUGUGAAAAACUCCGGUGGUAUAAGAUGGACCCGCGUUGGAUUAGCUAGUUGGUGAGGUAACGGCCCACCAAGGCGACGAUCCAUAGCCGACCUGAGAGGGUGACCGGCCACAUUGGGACUGAGACACGGCCCAAACUCCUACGGGAGGCAGCAGUGGGGAAUAUUGCACAAUGGGCGAAAGCCUGAUGCAGCGACGCCGCGUGAGCGAAGAAGUAUUUCGGUAUGUAAAGCUCUAUCAGCAGGGAAGAUAAUGACGGUACCUGACUAAGAAGCACCGGCUAAAUACGU